CCUACGGGAGACAGCAGUGGGGAAUAUUGCACAAUGGGGGAAACCCUGAUGCAGCGACGCCGCGUGAGUGAAGAAGUAUUUCGGUAUGUAAAGCUCUAUCAGCAGGGAAGAAAAUGACGGUACCUGACUAAGAAGCCCCGGCUAACUACGUGCCAGCAGCCGCGGUAAUACGUAGGGGGCAAGCGUUAUCCGGAUUUACUGGGUUUAAAGGGAGCGUAGACGGCAGCGCAAGUCUGAAGUGAAAUCCCAUGGCUUAACCAUGGAACUGCUUUGGAAACUGUGCAGCUGGAGUGCAGGAGAGGUAAGCGGCAUUCCUAGUGUAGCGGUGUAAUGCGUAGCUAUUAGGAGG
rnacentral:rRNA from 1 species